rfam:Caminicella sporogenes DSM 14501 genome assembly, contig: EJ28DRAFT_scaffold00024.24
GGCCCCUUGGUCAAGUGGUUAAGACACCGCCCUUUCACGGCGGUAACAGGGGUUCGAAUCCCCUAGGGGUCA